UAGGGAAUCUUCCGCAAUGGGCGAAAGCCUGACGGAGCAACGCCGCGUGAGUGAUGAAGGUCUUCGGAUCGUAAAACUCUGUUAUUAGGGAAGAACAAAUGUGUAAGUAACUAUGCACGUCUUGACGGUACCUAAUCAGAAAGCCACGGCUAACUACGUGCCAGCAGCCGCGGUAAUACGUAGGUGGCAAGCGUUAUCCGGAAUUAUUGGGCGUAAAGCGCGCGUAGGCGGUUUUUUAAGUCUGAUGUGAAAGCCCACGGCUCAACCGUGGAGGGUCAUUGGAAACUGGAAAACUUGAGUGCAGAAGAGGAAAGUGGAAUUCCAUGUGUAGCGGUGAAAUGCGCAGAGAUAUGGAGGAACACCAGUGGCGAAGGCGACUUUCUGGUCUGUAACUGACGCUGAGGCUCGAAAGCGUGGGUAGCAAACAGG
rnacentral:rRNA from 1 species